rnacentral:lncRNA from 1 species
GGAACCUUAGCAGCCAGCUCGGUAACGGUCCGUGGAGGUUGUUGUUAGACAGAUCAAUCUCUUUCAAACUCGAGAGCCCAUUUAGCUCAUCAGGAACCACACCGGAGAGAGAAUUGUUAGCGAGGUUCAACGACUGUAACCGUUUCAGACCAGAGAGAGAGACAGGAACUGUUCCAUUGAAUCUGUUAUUCGAGAGAUUUAAACUAACGAGCUUCUUCCAUACGGAGAAGUCCAGAGGCAACGGGCCGGAGAAGUCGUUGUCCUCGAGGUAAAGAAAGGCCAAGUCUUUAAGCCCAGCGAGGCCCAUAGGGAAUGGGCCUGAGAGUCUGUUGGACCUGAGGCUGAGGACUCUGAGGGCAGAGAGUCUGCUUAUGGUGUUGGGAGGAAUCUGACCGUUGAGUCCGAUCGCUGGCAAUCUAAGGGCUAUGAUUCGAGAUUCGUUGUGGUUGCAAGUGACUCCUGUCCAGUUUUUGCAGAGGGGAGUGGUCUCGUUCCAGUUGAGAGAGCGUGUUGGGCGCGUGAUGGUUAGAAACUCGAGUAACGCGCGUUUGUCUUGUGAAGGAUCUGCUUUUGCUCCGGAGAUGAUUAGAUACAGAGAGAAGAGAGUCCAUAGAGAAAGCCUCCACGCUUCCAUUGCUGGUUCUUUGUGAAGAUAAUGAUGAUGAUGGGACUAUAAAUGGAGAAAGUUUGGAUGAGAAACUUUAAUUUGAAAUAAAAGGGUACAAAAGGGAGAUUUCUAGAAAACUGGGGAUCAAAAAGUAAAAGGGAAUCUCAAGUAAACAAAGAGUGGGAGACAGAAGAAGAGAGUAGCUUCGGUAAUAACGAAAUGAAAGUCAUGUUUUGUCUUUGUUGUACAUUCAAAAGCUUUUUUUUUAAUUUUAAACUCUUCGAAAUCGAAACCCUAGAAUUUCUGGGAAUUAUACAACAGUGUCAAAAAAAGUAGGACUCUUAACUCUCUAUUAAGGGGUUAAAAUUAUUUAAAAUAAAGAAAUUGAUACCUCCAGAUCUGAACUUUUACGAGUCUUUUUAAUUUAUUUUUUCUAGUCACGCACGCCGUUUCUUCUCGAGAAUCUCGAUCACGUCUUUAACUUGAAGAACACGAACUUGAGAACCACCAUUGAAGCACUGAAGAUGGGCAUUCGGGGUCUCAAUCGGGUUUCGGUUUUUCGGGUUUAUCAAAAUCAGUCCCAUUUGGGUUACAUGAAAAUUCGGUUCGGGACCGGUUCGGGUUCUAUCGGGCUCCGGUCGGGUUUAGUAAAUCUUCAAGGAACCAAUACAACCCGAUGUACUUUCGGGUUCAAGUCCCAAUCGGUUCUUCGGUUUAAAUGUACCUGAUUUAUAUCUGUUUUGUAACCAAAAAGUAACUAAAAUCGGUUCUUCGGUUUUAAAAUACUUGAUUUCUACCUAUUUUGUAACCAAAACAUAAAUAAAAUCGGUUCAAAAAAAAGAGCAUCAAAUAUAAUCAUUCAUAAUCAAGUGAAAGGUAAACAUAGUUAUUGAUCGAAAGAAAACCAAAUAAAUGAAAGCAUGAAACGAAAAUCAUGUUGUCAUGAAAUAAAAAACAUUAUUCAAUGAAAAAUAAAAUUCAAAUAUAAAAACUUCAACUUUCAACCGCCACCUUUAACCAUCAAUCUUCAUAUAAUAGAUAAUUAUUUUAGAUGUUCAAUAUAUUUUGAAUACAUAUUAGGAAUUGAAAUCAUGUUUGGUACAAGUUCUUUUUGAAAAUUUUGAAUGUUUCGAGUUCUAUCGGGUAUCUAUUUAGGUUCGGGUUCGGUUCGGAUAAUACUCAUAACCCGAAAUACCAUAAAACAAGAUCCAUUCGGUUUUUAUGUCGAGUUCGGAUCGGUUCAGAUUCAUUUUAUCGGAUCGGGUUUGGUUCGGAUUUUCGGGUUCGGUUUAUUUGCCCAGUCCUAGUAAGAAGUGAGCCUAACAAUCUUCACUGGCAGCCGAAACAAUAAUGGCUAAUGGGCUAUGAAGCCCAUUAGGAAAAGCUAAUUUAGAUGAGUUUCUGAAACUUGAGAUGUUUCUUUUUCUGUUUUCCUUAAUUCAUUCAUACUGACUUUUGAAAAACCAAGAAUCCCUAGCCAGAAAUGUGUUGAAUUAAACCGGUUCUAACCGAAGAAGAGAGGAUCAACAGAAGAGAGUAUACAAACUUCAUAUAUCAACAGCUUCUUCAUUUUCUGUAGAUUCAUCAAGUUUCACUCGGCGUGGAAGUCUCGGAGGCCUCCUUUUCUGGUUUAGUCUCAAGACUGGCUCGUCGGUUUCCGACACUCUCCAUAAGCCUAACCAAAUCAGACAUCUUCGGUCUCUGGUCAGGUGCUUUGACAACACAGGACAUAGCAAUCUGCAACAUCUCAACCAUCUCUUCCUCUAUGUUCGUAUACCUCAAAAGCUCCACGUCAAAAACCUCCGCAGUCCAUUCCUCUCUCACUACCGAAUGUACCCAUCGAACCAAAUGUAUAAUCUCAUCUCCUGUCCAAAAAUAAAAAAAAUCAUUAAACCGAAGAUAUUAUAAUAGUAUGUUAUUUAUUUUUCUUGUUUGUAACCAUUACCUGCGGUAGUGUGAAUGGGGGAUUUUCCGGUGAGUAGCUCGAGCAAUACAACACCAAAACUAUAAACAUCUGAGAGUUGAGAAGACUUCCUUGUGUCUGUUACUUCCGGCGCACGGUAACCAGCUUGCCUAGAGAUGGGUGGAGCCAAGGCGCUCAUGACAGCUGUUAAACCAAGAUCAGACACGCAUCCGUAACGCUCUGAGUUCAAGAAUAUGUUGGAAGACUUGAUGUUCCCAUGUACGAGCUUUCCAUUGUUCUCUUUGUGGAUCCUAGCGAUCCCUUUAGCCGCACCAAUCGCAAUCUUCAUCCUCGUUUCCCAAUCCAACGGAACCCGGUUCUCUCCUCGGUUACCUGCACCAACUAAACCGGUUACUAAAAUUAAACCGGAAACGAGCCUAACCAAAGCUAAUAACACAUUACCGUGAAGCAAAGAAGCCACACUUCCACUGCUGAAGUAAUCAUAAACCAUAAGCUUCUCGUCUUUAGAGUAAUAAUAAGCCUUAAGCUCCACGACAUUCUCGUGCUUAAUCCCUCCAAUAAUCUCCAUCUGCUGCUCGAAAUCGCGUUUCCCAGCCGCAACGUCUUUAAGCCGUUUCACAGCGACGGAAGUCGCAUCCUCAAGAACCGCUUUGUACGUCGUCCCAAACGUGCCUUUACCAAGAAUCUCAGCGGAAGCUCUCAAGAGAUCCUCGAGAUCGAACGAGUAGCUGCAUCCUUCGAAGAAAGACAACCUGUUGUUAGCCUCCUCCAUCCUCGAAUCAAACUUCUCCGGAGACAUACCUCCUUUCUUCUGCAGCUUAUGGUCCUUAACAAUCGUUACCUUGCGCCUCAAGUAACAAAGAGCAAACACAAACGCUAAAACCGCGAGAAGUAAAAUUGCAACAGAGAUAACGAUGAGGAGGAAGACCGUCUUCGUGACUCCUUUAGGCUUCUUUCGAGUCGGUGGUUCAGGAGGUGGUUGAAAGUGAGUGACGUCAUCACCAAUCCCUUGGUAAGAAGACGGUGGGAACCUUAGCAGCCAGCUCGGUAACGGUCCGUGGAGGUUGUUGUUAGACAGAUCAAUCUCUUUCAAACUCGAGAGCCCAUUUAGCUCAUCAGGAACCACACCGGAGAGAGAAUUGUUAGCGAGGUUCAACGACUGUAACCGUUUCAGACCAGAGAGAGAGACAGGAACUGUUCCAUUGAAUCUGUUAUUCGAGAGAUUUAAACUAACGAGCUUCUUCCAUACGGAGAAGUCCAGAGGCAACGGG